GAGGACAUAGCUCAGUGGUAGAGCACAUGCUUAGUAUGCAUGAAGUCCUGGGUUCAAUCCCCAGUACCAUCA
rnacentral:tRNA from 1 species